GGGCCCGUGGUUCAGCCCGGUAGAACGCUCCCAUGGCAUGGGAGAGGCCUCGCGUUCAAAUCGCGACGGGUCCA
rnacentral:tRNA from 1 species